rnacentral:tRNA from 1 species
GCCUUCUUAACUCAGUUGGUAGAGUAUCGGUUUUGUAAACCGAUUGUCGUCGGUUCGAGUCCGACAGUGGGCU